rnacentral:sRNA from 1 species
GCCAGGCACAGUGGCUCAUGCCUGUAAUCCCAGCACUUUGGGAGGCCGAGGCAGGAGGAUCACUUGAGGUCAGGAGUUUGAGACCACCCUGACCAACAUGGUGAAACCCUGCCUUUACUAAAAAUACAAAAAUUAGCUGGGUUUGGUGGUGCAUGCCUGUAAUCCCAGCUACUCAGGAGGCUGAGGCAGGAGACUGGGCAAAACCUGGGAUGCAGAGGUUGCAGUGAGCCAAGAUUGUGCCACUGCACUCUACCCUGGGGGACAGAGUGAGACCCUGUCUUA